CCUACGGGAGGCAGCAGUGGGGAAUAUUGCACAAUGGGCGCAAGCCUGAUGCAGCGACGCCGCGUGAGGGAUGACGGCCUUCGGGUUGUAAACCUCUUUCAGUAGGGAAGAAGCGAAAGUGACGGUACCUGCAGAAGAAGCGCCGGCUAACUACGUGCCAGCAGCCGCGGUAAUACGUAGGGCGCAAGCGUUAUCCGGAAUUAUUGGGCGUAAAGAGCUCGUAGGCGGUUUGUCGCGUCUGCCGUGAAAGUCCGGGGCUCAACUCCGGAUCUGCGGUGGGUACGGGCAGACUAGAGUGAUGUAGGGGAGACUGGAAUUCCUGGUGUAGCGGUGAAAUGCGCAGAUAUCAGGAGGAACACCGAUGGCGAAGGCAGGUCUCUGGGCAUUAACUGACGCUGAGGAGCGAAAGCAUGGGGAGCGAACAGGAUUAGAUACCCUGGUAGUCCAUGCCGUAAACGUUGGGCACUAGGUGUGGGGGACAUUCCACGUUUUCCGCGCCGUAGCUAACGCAUUAAGUGCCCCGCCUGGGGAGUACGGCCGCAAGGCUAAAACUCAAAGGAAUUGACGGAAUCACUAG
rnacentral:rRNA from 1 species